rnacentral:antisense_RNA from 1 species
CUUCACCGAACCGAGCCAGAGCGGUUCGCUCCCGCGCUGCCCGUAGGUGGCCAGCAAUGCCUGGGCCUC